UACUAUUUAGAUUUUGAACUUUAUUUAGGUUGCCGGAGCUAUUGUUAUAUUUGAGGUGCAAAGAAGUGCUAGAUCAGAAGUUGAAAAAGAAGAAAUCCGUAAGCAUAAAAUUAAGGUUUGAGGAACACCACGGAACAACACUCAAAAUGGCCCUGCUAUCCACCAGUGCUUCAUGAACCAAAAUUCUGGGUACAUCAUAUGACCAAAAUUCGGCCACUCAUGUUGGGUAAACAGAGAUGAAGUAAAACAGUUACAAAUAACGGUGAUGGAAAUUGGCAAUGUGACAGGAUUCAUCAGACAGUUAAUGAAAACUAAACAAAUAUUCUUUAGUUACAAAAUACAAGACUAAACUGGUUUAACAUGGCAACUGCAUUUCAAGAAACGAGGGAGGACAUAAUGGGAAUUUCUGCCAAAUAUCUGUAUUAAAUAAAAGAGCAAGACGAAGAGAGAUUUACAUAAUUGUAAGGAAUGUUAUUUGUAAUAAGUAUAAUUUAAGUUAAAGGUUAAAGAAGAGAGCUUCGUCGAUGAAGUUAAACAACGUGUGAAGUCAAAUGUUCUUAAAGUUGAGAAGAUAAAAGCUUCAUCAAAAACCAACUUUCUUCUCGAUAUGCUUAAAAAGGAGGACCCAAAGAUUAUUAUCCCAAUUGCUGCAUCAGCACCUAUGGGAAUUAAUAUGUUGGUUCUAGGCAUGGUGUUAGCUGCAACAAGUGUGGUGGUAUGGGUCAUAAUAGCUCUAUGAAUUGUCCAAGUGCGGUAAAUGGUUUAGUUGGACGAUUUAACAAUAUGCCUUCUACAUGUGGAAACAUAUGCAUUGGGCUAAAGAUUAUCCUGGAGUGACUAAUGUCUCUAAAGCUUAUGGCGGAGAAGAUGUGUCACUGGGAUGAUAUGAGAGUGCUUUGGUCGGUAUGUUGGUGGUUAUUGACUUUGAGGUUUAAACUCACAUUACACACGCUAAUAAUGUAAAUAGUGCUUUAUUAGUGAAAUUUUCCUCUUAUAAUUA